rnacentral:tRNA from 1 species
GCACACGUGGCGGAAUUGGUAGACGCGCUGCCUUGAGGGGGCAGUGUCCGUAUGGACGUGGAAGUUCGAAUCUUCUCGUGUGCA